rnacentral:tRNA from 1 species
UAGACUGUAGCUCAGCUGGAAGAGCGCCUGCCUUGCACGCUUGAGACGUGAGUUCGAUUCUCACUGGUCUUA